GGCAGGAGGCGAAGUUGGAAGAAGGCAUGGUGACAGACAGUGCUGGAGAUCUUAGGGAGAAAAACAGCACUGUAGGAAACCUAGAGAAGAACGUACCUAUGGCCCUUAUCACCGACUGAGGAUUUCAGGAUUUCAGCACCACAGAUCUCCCAGCACAAGCAGAUGUCGGUGUAAGUGCAGAAGGCUGGUAGUGCACAGAGCAGAC
rnacentral:lncRNA from 1 species